rnacentral:rRNA from 1 species
UGUAAGCGUAUACCAAAGUUGUUGCAGUUAAAACGCUCGUAGUCGGAAUUUGGCAGUUCCGGAUGUGUGCAGGUCGUGUGCGCACUUCGCGGGGAUUGCUUUUGUGGUCUUGCGUAGGAUGAGGCACUUUUAUUAGUGAACGUCCUCACGCAACCACUUUUUACUGUGAGAAAAUCAGAGUGCUCAAAGCAGGCAUUUGCCGUGAAUGUAUUAGCAUGGAAUAAUAGAAUAGGACUUGGUUCUAUUUUGUUGGUUUGUUGGGACUGAGUAAUGAUUAAGAGGGACAGUUGGGGGCAUUUGUAUUUCGGUGCUAGAGGUGAAAUUCUUAGAUUACCGAAAGACAAACUGCUGCGAAAGCGUCUGCCAAGGAUGUUUUCAUUGA